GAUGAACGCUGGCGGCGUGCCUAAUACAUGCAAGUCGAACGCAUAGCGAAAGGUGCUUGCACCUUUCAAGUGAGUGGCGAACGGGUGAGUAACACGUGGACAACCUGCCUCAAGGCUGGGGAUAACAUUUGGAAACAGAUGCUAAUACCGAAUAAAACUUAGUGUCGCAUGACCCAAAGUUAAAAGGCGCUUCGGCGUCACCUAGAGAUGGAUCCGCGGUGCAUUAGUUAGUUGGUGGGGUAAAGGCCUACCAAGACAAUGAUGCAUAGCCGAGUUGAGAGACUGAUCGGCCACAUUGGGACUGAGACACGGCCCAAACUCCUACGGGAGGCUGCAGUAGGGAAUCUUCCACAAUGGGCGAAAGCCUGAUGGAGCAACGCCGCGUGUGUGAUGAAGGCGUUCGGGUCGUAAAGCACUGUUGUAUGGGAAGAACAGCUAGAAUAGGAAAUGAUUUUAGUUUGACGGUACCAUACCAGAAAGGGACGGCUAAAUACGUG
rnacentral:rRNA from 1 species